rnacentral:lncRNA from 1 species
AAGAAGAGGUUUUCCAAAUGUUGCUCCACUGGGACGAUUUGGUUUUUUUCAGGGUCGGUAAUCUGCAUGCAUAAGGUGGUACAGUCAUGUUACCCACCGCAUAUUACCCACUGUUUUAAGGAAAUAUGGAAUUAACGUGUGUCAAGUUCGUUCAUUAUUCCUGCCUCCUUCUAUAUGCAUCUAUCUCCGCUAUAGAUGCUCGCUUUGAAAGAGUUUAAGAAAAUCUAACAUAUUAAACUCGUGACUUAUUCAGAAGCUUAGAGGCAUUAACAUUUCAAGCACUGUUUGAAUGUUUGGAGACAUUUAAUUUCUUUAAAACUAAGUAUUUUAGGGAUACCUGGGUGGCGCAGCGGUUUGGCGCCUGCCUUUGGCCCAGGGCGCGAUCCUGGAGACCCGGGAUCGAAUCCCACAUCGGGCUUCCAGUGCAUGGAGCCUGCUUCUCCCUCUGCCUGUGUCUCUGCCUCUCUCUAUGUCUCCUUCUGUGACUAUCUUAAAUAAAAAUUAAAAAAAAAAACUAAUAAAACUAAGUAUUUUAAAAUUAUCCCUAUAACGUGUAAUUAGUUAGACUAGAAGGAUCUUGAUUGCCCACUAUUUAGAGAAAUGCUAAUUGUUUGGUAAACUCACAAUUUAAUGAAAUUGGAAAUGAAAUAAAAAUGGCAACAAGUCGUCCUCUGUACACAGAGUAGCUCCAUAUCCCUGAUUCAGAUCUCACCCUGAACAAGAUUACACUGCCAGGUGGCUGGCGGUGGGGGGUUGUGGGGGGCAUGGGGAGGGUGUUGCCUGGGGCCGGUGGUGGGACCCUAGCUAACCUGGUUGGACUUCUGUGAACCCCUGUGUCCUCAUCUGUGAAACAGAUAGUGAUAAGCAUUUGCAUUGUGCUGAAUUGUGCUGAACAUCCAUUCUUUCCUUGGCUGGGUUGAGCCUGCUGAUGAGCCAGUUGAAGGCACUCUUCAUUACUACUAGUGUUUUCUAUCUCUAGCCUUAACUUUUGAUCUUACCUUAGAGUUUCCAUCUCUCUGCUUACAUUAUCCAUCUAUUCCUGCAUUUUGUCUACUUUUUUUCCACUAGGACCCUUAAUAUCUUAAUCAUAGUUAUUUUACAUCCUGUGUGAUACUCCCAACCUCUGUGUCCUAUCUGGUUGUCAUUCUGAUGAUUGCUUUGUGUGUGCUCAGCCUGUUUUUCUUGCCUUUUGAUAUGCCUUGUCAUUUGUUGUUGAAAGUGAGAAAUAUGUUUGGUAACAGGAACAAAAGUAAACAGGAGGUUUGGUAAUAUGGGUCGAAGUAGGACGUACUUAAUGUUUGUUGUGACUAUGGGUGCUAGAGGCUUCAAAUUCCUCUAGUGGUCUAGUUUUUGUCUAUUCUGUAGACUUUGUGCUCUGGUAAGUGUUCCUCUCCAGAGAGAGUCCGUGUCUUGCAUCUCUUUUAGUUGUAAUCCUGUUACACUGGAAUUCCACUGAUGUGUAAAAGGUGAGAGGGGAGAGGAUCAUACUAAAUCUUCCAAUGAAAUCCCAAUCUUUAGUAGCACUGUGUCUGAGGAGCAUAUCUCCACCACCGUAGUUUCUUUCUUUCAUUUUUUUUUCCUUGACCCCAACUGCCUUCCCUGGCUACAGCAUUCUCAAAGUAUUUGCUAAAAACCCUGGCCCCUGCUGACUAUGAUCUCUCUCACUUAGGUGAGAGAAGAAGGCUAGAGGGACCUGUAGUGGGAGCAAUGUCCUUCACCCAGCUGCAGAUGGCUCUAGCAGCUUUAUUCCUGGUAGUAUAUAUCUUUGUAGGGAAAAGGCUCUGGGUAUAUUUCAUGAUGGUUAUCUUUCUGGUCAUAUAACACCUGCUCUUCCCCUGCUCCAUGCUAACAGCUGAAAAAACAGAGACAUGCCAGUUAACUGAGUGCAUAUUGGACACAGCCAGGAUGGAGUCCAUGGGGUCACUGCCCAGGGGACAGGAAUUAGGUUUGAAAGCCCAGACUGGGAGACUCUGCGCAGGUGCAAGUACAAAGUGACAUGAUAGGUCCCUUGCUCACUUACCUGUCUGGGCAGUUUGGUACAGCCUUAGCCUCUGGUGGCAGAAGAGCACCAUGUUGGGCAGCAGGUCUUGGUCUUUGGAAAGAACAAAUGAAUGUCAUCAAAUAGCAUGUUAACAAGGCAUUUCAAAGACAUGUGACCAAGUGAGGACACAAUAAGGGGACACUGGUGUUGGGGGACCUGAGAGAAAGAGAUGAGGGAUGAGGGGAAAGGGUGAGAUAUGAGGUCACAGCAAGGGGCUGGGAAUCAGGAGAGACCAGCAGAGUGGGAGGAUGUUCUGCAAUGUCUAGUGUUUAAAAAGACACAACAAACCCAAAGGGAGUAAUUUACUUCCAUCAAGACAGCAAACCAAGACACAGUUGAACCAAAGUACCUAAGUAAUACAAUGUGUGUAGGUUCCUUAGUGUAUAUGCAAGCUCCCUGUCUCCACACCCUAAUACACUGAAUAAAAAGCCUGCUGGGCACCUGGGUGGUGGCUAAGCUUCCGACUCUUGAUCUUGGCUCAGGUCAUGAUCUCAGGGUCUUGGGAUCAAGUUCUGUGUCGGGCUCCAUGCUCAGCAGGAGUCUGCUUGUCCUUCUCUCUGCUCCUCUCCCAGCUUGUGUUCUCUCUCUCUCUCUCUCUCUCUCAAAAAAAAAAAAAAAAAAA